GUUCUUGGAACAGAGGCACGAGACCCAUGUCCCCUCCAUGGUCAUCGGUUGCAGCUUUUGGCACAGUCAACAAGCUGCAAAGAGCAGCAUGAACAAAAUGAACCGGAAAAGAUGUCCAGCCACCAGCAAGCUGACGACUGCGCCACUUCACCAUGCUGUACCACGACGCCAAAUUGUGUGCCAUCGCCAAGCUGUGCCACGACGCCAAGCCACAUCGCUGAUGCACCAGAUGAGCCUCCGAGAUUUUGCUCAACGCUUUCCACCAACCAGAACCAAAUGUCUGACGAC